GGGGCUGUGAUUCAGUGGAAGAGCCUCUGCUUUGAAUGCAUAUGGUCCAAGGCUCGAUCCUCAGCAGCUCCA
rnacentral:tRNA from 1 species